rnacentral:rRNA from 1 species
GAUGAACGCUGGCGGCGUGCCUAAUACAUGCAAGUCGAGCGAACAGACGAGGAGCUUGCUCCUCUGACGUUAGCGGCGGACGGGUGGGUAACACGUGGAUAACCUACCUAUAAGACUGGGAUAACUUCGGGAAACCGGAGCUAAUACCGGAUAAUAUAUUGAACCGCAUGGUUCAAUAGUGAAAGACGGUUUUGCUGUCACUUAUAGAUGGAUCCGCGCCGCAUUAGCUAGUUGGUAAGGUAACGGCUUACCAAGGCGACGAUGCGUAGCCGACCUGAGAGGGUGAUCGGCCACACUCGAACUGAGACACGGUCCAGACUCCUACGGGAGGCAGCAGUAGGGAAUCUUCCGCAAUGGGCGAAAGCCUGACGGAGCAACGCCGCGUGAGUGAUGAAGGUCUUCGGAUCGUAAAACUCUGUUAUUAGGGAAGAACAAAUGUGUAAGUAACUAUGCACGUCUUGACGGUACCUAAUCAGAAAGCCACGGCUAACUACGUG